rnacentral:rRNA from 1 species
CACUCCUGCGGGAAGCAGCAGUGGGGAAUAUUGCACAAUGGGCGCAAGCCUGAUGCAGCCAUGCCGCGUGUAUGAAGAAGGCCUUCGGGUUGUAAAGUACUUUCAGCGGGGAGGAAGGCGAUAAGGUUAAUAACCUUGUCGAUUGACGUUACCCGCAGAAGAAGCACCGGCUAACUCCGUGCCAGCAGCCGCGGUAAUACGGAGGGUGCAAGCGUUAAUCGGAAUUACUGGGCGUAAAGCGCACGCAGGCGGUCUGUCAAGUCGGAUGUGAAAUCCCCGGGCUCAACCUGGGAACUGCAUUCGAAACUGGCAGGCUAGAGUCUUGUAGAGGGGGGUAGAAUUCCAGGUGUAGCGGUGAAAUGCGUAGAGAUCUGGAGGAAUACCGGUGGCGAAGGCGGCCCCCUGGACAAAGACUGACGCUCAGGUGCGAAAGCGUGGGGAGCAAACAGGAUUAGAUACCCUAGUAGUCCCAUG